UACAGAGGUCUCAAGCGUUGUUCGGAUUCAUUGGGCGUAAAGGGCGCGUAGGCGGCCAGCACAAGUCAGUUGUGAAAUCUCCGGGCUUAGCUCGGAAAGGUCAACUGAUACUGUGCGACUAGAGUGCGGAAGGGGCAACUGGAAUUCUCGGUGUAGCGGUGAAAUGCGUAGAUAUCGAGAGGAACACCUGCGGCGAAGGCGGGUUGCUGGGCCGACACUGACGCUGAUGCGCGAAAGCCAGGGGAGCGAACGGG
rnacentral:rRNA from 1 species